rnacentral:rRNA from 1 species
AUGAUCUUCUUUAUUCAUUCAUCCCACCCGCCACUCACAUGUCUCUCGCCUUGGUCCGCUCGAUCAGGCACUGUCUUGUUGAGGUGUCCUGCUACUAAGGGCAUCUUCAAUAGAUUGUAUGUUAGUUUUGUUGGUAAAAUGUUUAUGUCAUCAACCAACAAACUAUCAUACAACUAUUUCAAUGGGUUGUAUCUAAGGUAUCCAAUAAAUGAUGAGAAAAUAAAUGUGAUUGCUCUUUAUUUCACCUUGGAGUUUGUGCAAAGGUUGUUGGUUAUUCUACAUACAACUUUGCUCUCUCUUCAUAUUUAUUACAUGUCACAUCAUCACUAUGUCCUAGGUGAAAAAUUUACCAACACCUAUCUUACAGCUGUUGGAGAUGCCCUAAAGGUGAAGCGCUAG